UCACGGACUACCAUGCAAGGUCGAACGGCAGCACGGGACUUCGGCUCUGGUGGCGAGUGGCGAACGGGUGAGUAAUGUAUCGGAACGUGCCCAGUAGCGGGGGAUAACUACGCGAAAGCGUAGCUAAUACCGCAUACGCCCCACGGGGGAAAGCAGGGGAUCGCAAGACCUUGCACUAUUGGAGCGGCCGAUAUCGGAUUAGCUAGUUGGUGAGGUAAUGGCUCACCAAGGCGACGAUCCUAUCUGGUUUGAGAAGACACCACCACACUGGGACUGAGACACGGCCCAACUCCUACGGGAGGCAUCGUGCGAAUUUUGUACAAUGGGG
rnacentral:rRNA from 1 species